CCUACGGGUGGCAGCAGUGGGGAAUAUUGGACAAUGGGCGAAAGCCUGAUCCAGCCAUGCCGCGUGUGUGAAGAAGGCCUUCGGGUUGUAAAGCACUUUCAGUGGGGAAGAAAGCCUUGGGGCUAAUACCCUCGAGGAAGGACAUCACCCACAGAAGAAGCACCGGCUAACUCCGUGCCAGCAGCCGCGGUAAUACGGAGGGUGCGAGCGUUAAUCGGAAUUACUGGGCGUAAAGCGCGCGUAGGCGGUCUGAUAAGCCGGUUGUGAAAGCCCCGGGCUCAACCUGGGAACGGCAUCCGGAACUGUCAGGCUAGAGUGCAGGAGAGGAAGGUAGAAUUCCCGGUGUAGCGGGGAAAUGCGUAGAGAUCGGGAGGAAUACCAGUGGCGAAGGCGGCCUUCUGGACUGACACUGACGCUGAGGUGCGAAAGCGUGGGUAGCAAACAGGAUUAGAUACCCCAGUAGUC
rnacentral:rRNA from 1 species